rnacentral:sRNA from 1 species
GCUUAUCCCAGGCUGAAUGGCAAAUUAACAGUAAGCUUAGUAGCCCGUCAGAAGCAACAAAAACCACAAAACAAUUAUUUUCCUGUUUUUUUUUACUUUUCCCGAAACAAAAAAUCGCGACGAAAAUCAAAAAAUCUGAAUAAAUUCCCAAGUUGAUAAGUAUGUGUUAAUUAAUCAGCCUUACAAAGUAAUGUUUUUAUUUUUGCGGUGCUAAAGUUAAAAGGAAUAAAGUACUGAAAAGUGCAUAAUUAGAUGUGUGUGUUGGUGUAUCCCUAGGUGCAUAUGUGUGUGCGUACUCAAUAUACAAUUUGAGCUCCAAAACCAGUUCUCGGAAGCAGGAAACUGUAAACAAGAAACACACUCAAACUGAAGACGACUCGCCGGCCCGGCUCUCACUUGCAUUUUUGUGUUCGUUUUGCUCCCCCAAUUUGUGUUUCUCGCUGCACGCCCCACGCCACGCCCCAACCCCCCCGGUUCUAUGCGUCUGGCCUAAACAGCAGCCACAGCCACACAGCAACAACGUUAACA